GGCAAUACAUUAGAAGCAAACUCAAACGGUGGAAGACACAAACCAUAGUAAACCUGCUACUACUAGGGUUUUUCGAAAAAAGAUGAGGGGUAGCCACAUGAUGAUCGUCUGCCUCGUUCUUCUAGUGUUAGCUUCAGGUAUCUUAUGUAGUGAUGCUUUUUUACUUCAUAUACAUUUCGAGAUGUAUAAUCUACCCAGUGCUUUUUGAUUUUUUUAAUUGAUGAUUUCUUUGUGGGGAAUAUUCAUCAUAUAUGAAGGUACGGCGACAGCAUCGACAAUGCAAGGCGGAUCUCUAACCGGAACAAACUGCAUAGUCAAAACCCCUAUGCCUUGUGAUCAGAUCAAGAGAUGUGUAGAUAUGUGCAACUCCUUGUCUCCGGUACGCGGCAAGCCUGAGAUUAGUUGUGUUGACAAAGAAUGCAGGUGCACGUUUUGUUGAAGUUCGACAUGAAUCUACAAAGAAGACAUUUAUUUCCUUGUUAUCGGAGCAGGGGCGAUCAUCGUGUGUGUGUGCGCGUGUGUGUUAGCAAUAUUUGGUACCAGAAUAUCAAAACAAUAAAUGGCAUGAAUUUUUUGAUUCCGCAUGGAACAUCAUGUAACCAGAUCGGUAGCAGAUUGUUGCUGGCUAAUCCAUAUGUGCGGACUUCGUGACAUACUGGCAUACAUGAUCAAAUCUCUGUCUGUGUUGCUUUCAACAGAUAGUACUCGGUCAGAUUGGGACUUGUUGCCGUCCUUGUCUUCUGUUUUCAUUCUUUUUCAACCUUCUUCCCCAAAUCAUACUCUUUUCUUUUCUUUUUCUCCCCAAAAUAUAUCCGCUUCUUUUACAAAAUCAUACUCAAUUUAUGAGAUGGUAGAUUGCGUUUGGUCAGAAG
rnacentral:lncRNA from 1 species